CAUGCGCGCGGGGCUGUUCCCGAAUGACAACUGCACCACAUAACGGACAAACAGAGUCGGCAUAGAAGCCGCUGCUAACGCAGGAAGGCUUAAGUCUGAGAUUAAAGACUCAUCUUACUCGGACAACGUUAUGAGGUAGAUAGUUAAAAAACAUAAAACAAAACCGACUUCGGAUGGAACAGACAGGCGCUGCCACUGUGAACAUGGACCAAGAGUUUGAAGACAUGGACUCUAAAGGCCGGUGGCAGAAGCUUUACUCUGAAAUCAGGAAUCAAUCCCAUGAGUGCUCUUACAAAGUGGCAAAGUAUCCAGAAAAUCGCAACCGCAACAGAUACAGAGAUGUCAGUCCAUUUGAUCACAGUCGAGUCAAGUUGGAAAACACAGAAAAUGACUACAUCAACGCAAGUCUGGUGGUCAUGGAAGACGCCCAGAGAAAUUACAUUUUAACACAGGGCCCCCUCAGGAACACUUGUGGCCACUUUUGGCUCAUGAUCUGGGAGCAGAAGACGAAGGCGGUCAUCAUGCUCAACAGGGUGAUAGAGAAGGGAUCAGAAAAGUGUGCUCAGUACUGGCCUACAGCAGAGGAGAGAGAGAUGGUCUUUAGAGACACACGUUUUUUGGUCAAGCUGUUGUCAGAAGACACCAAAUCUUACUACACCACCAGAGUGCUGCAGCUACAGAACAUUAAUACGGGGGAGAAGAGAGAGAUCUACCACUUUCACUACACCACGUGGCCUGACUUCGGUGUCCCCGAAUCCCCGGCAUCCUUCCUAAACUUCCUCUUUAAAGUGCGGGAAUCUGGAGCAUUGGGGAUGGAUCAGGGGCCGGCUGUGGUGCACUGCAGCGCUGGAAUCGGACGCUCAGGGACGUUCUCACUAGUGGACACCUGCCUCGUCCUUAUGGACAAAAUGAAAGACCCAUUAUCGGUGGAUAUUAAAAACAUCUUGUUAAAGAUGAGGAAAUACCGCAUGGGUCUGAUUCAGACUCCUGAACAGCUGCGAUUUUCCUACAUGGCUGUCCUUGAAGGAGCCAAAUUCAUCAUGGGGGACUCUUCUGUACAGAACCAAUGGCGUGAAUUGUCUGAAGAAAAUCACGAGCCAUUUUCAGAGUCUCCGCCUUCAUCAGAACCUCAGGCUCGGUGUCCGCCAGAGCGUAACAAUAGGACCCAAAGGGGGGGCCAGCAGGAGGAGGCAGAAGAUUACAGACAGGACAGCAAAGUACCUACACAGUCUUCCUGCAAAGAACAGGAACUGGAUGGCAGCACAACACACAAACGGCGCAGAGAAGACAGUAUCUCCAAAUCUGCCAACACCAAAACACCCCAAGGCAAGUCCAGGUCAACUGACUCGGAGAGGAAGAGAAAAAGUUUGGGGUGUAUUUGCUGCACAUGACAAGAGCUGGCCUGUCCGGUGGGGGGCAGCCUGUCUUUACUUCCCUCUGAGACAGAAACUACCACGAGGAGCACAUUUAGAGGAGGAACUUUACCCACAGCUUGUGGAAAAAGAUCACCCACUUGUGUACCUGGAGGGUGAAAACCAAUGACUGCUAACCAGCUCCACCUGACUUCAGCUCUUGCAGCGAAGGCAGCCUCGGCAGGGAACUCCAGCUCUCUACCCCUCCAAACUUCUCAGCUCUUCCUCCUCCAUGUUAUUUUUUUCCCUCCUCGUCUUAAUCUAGCAAAGUGCUGUUCUUCAGCGACACUCUUCCCCUCUUAAGCCUCGGCCAGAACCCUCCUCAGCUUUUUCCUCUUAACUGUUUACAGCAGACACUUUGACAUUCACACAGGAGCUUUAAAACCCCCUCCUCAGACCUCACCUCAGCCUCUGGUAAAGCUGCUUUUUACUCUCGUUUUGCUUUUCGUUUCCUCUCAUAAGACUGAAAGUAUGGAGUACGCAUUGCCAAUUUGUAAUGCUGUUCAUACAGGUAUUUUUUGGGGUAAAAAAACAAAAUUUCAGAGGCAAAAGAGGUUCUAUUUUUUAUAAAAAACUACUUGAAGUUUUUAAGGUGACGCUGGGUUUGGUAUAAGACAAGCACUGCCUCCACCCACAAGUAAUACAGUGGCAUGAAAAUAUUUCAAUGAUGUACAUAGUACUCUGUUUUUUUUUAAAGAUGUGUAUUAAAGAUAUUUUUUGCUUGUAAAGUCAAAUAAAGAGCUUAUGUUACA